CGCAAAAUUUAGCGAUGAGUAUUCCAUCGCUAAAUUAAAAAAAUAUUAAAAAAAAUUAGCGACGAAAAUUCCGUCGCUAUCUGUCCUAAUUAGCGACGGAAUAAUUUCGUCUCUAAAU